GACGAACGCUGGCGGCGUGCCUAAUACAUGCAAGUAGAACGCUGAAGAGAGGAGCUUGCUCUUCUUGGAUGAGUUGCGAACGGGUGAGUAACGCGUAGGUAACCUGCCUGGUAGCGGGGGAUAACUAUUGGAAACGAUAGCUAAUACCGCAUAAAAUUGAUUAUUGCAUGAUAAUUAAUUGAAAGAUGCAACUGCAUCACUACCAGAUGGACCUGCGUUGUAUUAGCUAGUUGGUGAGGUAACGGCUCACCAAGGCGACGAUACAUAGCCGACCUGAGAGGGUGAUCGGCCACACUGGGACUGAGACACGGCCCAGACUCCUACGGGAGGCAGCAGUAGGGAAUCUUCGGCAAUGGGGGGAAGCCUGACCGAGCAACGCCGCGUGAGUGAAGAAGGUUUUCGGAUCGUAAAGCUCUGUUGGAAGAGAAGAACGGGUGUGAGAGUGGAAAGUUCACCCUGUGACGGUAUCUUACCAGAAAGGGACGGCUAACUACGUG
rnacentral:rRNA from 1 species